rnacentral:rRNA from 1 species
CUACGGGCCGCUGCAGUGGGGAAUAUUGCACAAUGGAGGAAACUCUGAUGCAGCAACGCCGCGUGGAGGAUGACGCAUUUCGGUGUGUAAACUCCUUUUAUAUGUCAAGAAAAUGACGGUAGCAUAUGAAUAAGCACCGGCUAACUCCGUGCCAGCAGCCGCGGUAAUACGGAGGGUGCAAGCGUUACUCGGAAUCACUGGGCGUAAAGGACGCGUAGGCGGGAUAUCAAGUCAGGUGUGAAAUCCUACAGCUUAACUGUAGAACUGCACUUGAAACUGGUAACCUAGAGUAUGGGAGGGGGAGAUGGAAUUAGUGGUGUAGGGGUAAAAUCCGUAGAUAUCACUAGGAAUACCUAAAGCGAAGGCGAUCUCCUGGAACAUAACUGACGCUAAGGCGUGAAAGCGUGGGGAGCAAACAGGAUUAGAUACCCCAGUAGUC